GAUGAACGCUGGCGGCGUGCCUAAUACAUGCAAGUCGAGCGAACAGACGAGGAGCUUGCUCCUCUGACGUUAGCGGCGGACGGGUGAGUAACACGUGGAUAACCUACCUAUAAGACUGGGAUAACUUCGGGAAACCGGAGAUAAUACCGGAUAAUAUAUUGAACCGCAUGGUUCAAUAGUGAAAGACGGUUUUGCUGUCACUUAUAGAUGGAUCCGCGCCGCAUUAGCUAGUUGGUAAGGUAACGGCUUACCAAGGCAACGAUGCGUAGCCGACCUGAGAGGGUGAUCGGCCACACUGGAACUGAGACACGGUCCAGACUCCUACGGGAGGCAGCAGUAGGGAAUCUUCCGCAAUGGGCGAAAGCCUGACGGAGCAACGCCGCGUGAGUGAUGAAGGUCUUCGGAUCGUAAAACUCUUUUAUUAGGGAAGAACAAAUGUGUAAGUAACUAUGCACGUCUUGACGGUACCUAAUCAGAAAGCCACGGCUAACUACGUG
rnacentral:rRNA from 1 species